rnacentral:rRNA from 1 species
CCACAAGGCCUUUACUGACGCUAAAGCUCGAAGGUGCGGGUAUCGAACAGGAUUAGAUACCCUGGUAGUCCGCACGGUAAACGAUGGAUGCCCGCUGUUUGCGAUAUACUGUGAGCGGCCAAGAGAAAUCGUUAAGCAUCCCACCUGGGGAGUACGCCGGCAACGGUGAAACUCAAAGGAAUUGACGGGGGCCCGCACAAGCGGAGGAACAUGUGGUUUAAUUCGAUGAUACGCGAGGAACCUUACCCGGGCUUGAACUGCAGGAGAACGAUUCAGAGAUGAUGAGGUCCUUCGGGACUCCUGUGGAGGUGCUGCAUGGUUGUCGUCAGCUCGUGCCGUGAGGUGUCGGCUUAAGUGCCAUAACGAGCGCAACCCCUUUCGUUAGUUGCCAUCAGGUGAUGCUGGGCACUCUGGCGAUACUGCCACCGUAAGGUGUGAGGAAGGUGGGGAUGACGUCAAAUCAGCACGGCCCUUACGUCCGGGGCUACACACGUGUUACAAUGGGUGGUACAGAGAGUGGGUCGUCUGCAAAUGCGAUCAAAUCCUAAAAGCCAUCCUCAGUUCGGAUUGGGGUCUGCAACCCGACCCCAUGAAGCUGGAU